UACAGAGGGGGCAAGCGUUAUUCGGAAUUAUUGGGCGUAAAGGGCGCGUAGGCGGCUUGGCAAGUGGAUGGUGAAAUCCCUCGGCUUAACCGAGGAACUGCCGUCCAAACUGCUUUGCUUGAGACCGGGAGAGGUGAGUGGAAUUCCCAGUGUAGCGGUGAAAUGCGUAGAUAUUGGGAGGAACACCAGUGGCGAAGGCGGCUCACUGGACCGGUACUGACGCUGAUGCGCGAAAGCGUGGGGAGCAAACAGG
rnacentral:rRNA from 1 species